AAUAACCUCACGCAUGUAUCAACCUCUUCUUUCCAAUCUCCUCCGAGUACCAAACGAGAAAAGACUGGUAGUCACCAAAAUGAACGCUGCAAAGGGCACCACCACCGCCACCUCCACCACCAAAACUCCGCCAGGUGGGGAAGGAGUUAAGGAGACGAAGACGGUGGAGACGGUGGACUACCGCUCGUCGGCGGGGCAGGGACAGCAAGAGAAGAGGCCAGUCGAGGUGGUUCAUGAGAUCCCAGCCAAAGGAUCAGAUGAUCCACCAUAGCUGCAAAGCAAGACUAGCUAAUAAGGAUGCUGUGAUUCUGGCCACGGUGGGGAAGAGUUAUAUAAUUUCCCGGAUGUUAAUAAUGGAAUCCCUGGCCUGUUAUAUGGGAUUCAUAUGCGACAAUCCCGAUCUAACAAGCGUAUGGCAAGUUAUGUACAUGUAUAGGAGGGGUACCAUGCAUGUGGCUAGAUCUUGAAUAAGUGCUUGUUCUGGAAAAUUUGAAUAACUAUAUAUGUUCUCUUCAACUUUUCUCAAGAAAAAAAUAAAAGAUGUUGAGUUUGUUUUAUGUCGUCUUUUGGGU